rnacentral:rRNA from 1 species
CCUACGGGAGGCAGCAGUAGGGAAUCUUGCUCAAUGGGGGAAACCCUGAAGCAGCAACGCCGCGUGGAGGAGGAAGGUUUUCGGAUUGUAAACUCCUUUUGUUAGAGAAGAUAAGGACGCUGUCUAACGAAAAAGCACCGGCUAACUCCGUGCCACCAGCCGCGGUAAUACGGAGGGUGCAAGCGUUACUCGGAAUCACUGGGCGUAAAGAGCGCGUAGGCGGGAUAGCAAUUCAGAUGUGAAAUCCUAUGGCUUAACCAUAGAACUGCAUUUGAAACUGGUAUUCUAGAGUAUGGGAGAGGUAAGUGGAAUUCUUGGUGUAGGGGUAAAAUGCGUAGAUAUCAAGAGGAAUACUCAUUGCGAAGGCGACCUGCUAGAACCUAACUGACGCUGAUGCGCGAAAGCGUGGGGAGCAAACAGGAUUAGAUACCCGGGUAGUC